rnacentral:misc_RNA from 1 species
UAUCUUCUGAGGGCCUCCCACAG